rnacentral:lncRNA from 1 species
CUAGAAUCAUGCCUAUUUUCUCUUCAUUCUGGUGUCAUCUACACUUACGUAAGGUGAAAAGCAAAUAAAUUGAAUUUAAUAGUUAUUAAUUGGUUAUAUUUUGUAGGUGUUGCUCUAGAAAAUGAGCUUACAGUGAAUGGAGUGGAGAGGGGCUAGUUUCAGACAAGUGUACGAUUUCUACACACAGCAGCAAACAGCAAGGGAAAUGCCAGCUGUUGAAGAACUGGAAUCUGGGGUGAAGUCAGAUUGUUGGUGUAAUACUGUCUGUAAUUUCUUGGCAGUGCUCUGUCUUUCACACACUGUGAUUCAAAGGGCAGUUGAGUUACUAAGGAAAGAAGGCAGUGGAGGCUGGGUGAAUGGCUGGCAUGGAGUAGAGAAGCUUCAACCUCCAGCCUCCUGCAAAGAUGUCUGUGUCCUUUCCUGAGUACAGAUAAAUCCCUUAAAGAAAUCUUUAUACACACAAAAUGUCUCUUAAAAAUGAAGAAGAAAAUCCAUACUGUGGUGUAACGUAGUGAAAUGUAGUAAAAGCAAUAUAAUGUAGUGAAAAAGUUGUUCAAAAAUCAUAUUCAUAUGAAGCUCUCUACCAUUUAUUUCCACAUACAAAAUCAAGAUUAAUGGCAAUUGCACUAUUUUUAUAAAAUGUAUUUAAGGGGAAAUACAUUUUCAUAUAGAUGAUAACUUAUUAACACCUCUAGUUCAUGUAUUUGUGAUCCUGUGCCACUAAAGUUCUUGGUCAAUGUUAUCUGGUCACUAACAAAAAAUAUACAUGCACACACACUAAAUAGCUCUGUAAUAAUCUUACAUAAUGAUAUAAUUAUUUCUUGGGCUAAGAGGUAUUAUGAAAAGCAGAAGUAGAAUGUACAGUGCUUGAAACUAUUUGACGUUGAGAACUCAUAAGUUUUAUUGUAACACUUGGCGCUGAUGCAUGCAUUCUUUUUGGAAUAUCCCUAAGAGAAGACAGGAGGCAGAAAAAUUUAUUCUGUUUGACUGUGGAAUGAAUCACAGUGAGCAAGUUGUGCACUGCAAAGUAGUGGCUGAUGAAACAACAACAGAUGAGUGAAGACAGUAUUGAGAUUGUUAAUGCCUUUGGUUACAAUGUACUCCUAACAACCAGAAAUGCUCUUAAAAUGGUAGUGAAAAAAGAGGUAACAUUGGAAAUAACAAUAUAAUGGAGAGAAAGAAUGCGAAUGUGUAAUAUUCUUCAUAUUACAACAUUUACUCCAAAACAGUCUAUCAAGAAAGCAAUCAAACAAAAGCAAGCGGGCAAGGGCAAAGAGACGGUUCAACUUCAGCCUUGGAUAAUUAGUCAAUUUGGUAGGUCGACUGCUUUAGAUACAAGGUGGUACCACAAGGUACUCCAGAAGCUUCUUCAGAGAGGAAGUAAAGAUUGAUUCUACCUCUUCCUUUUCCCCUGCCUCAGUGUGCCAUAUACGUCAUCAUACAGAAGUGUCCUUCUCGAACAUAGGCUAGCACGUGGUAAGAAGUGAAUAAAAAUCUAUUAAUAAGUCUGUUAACA